UAUAAUCUGAACGAGAUUUGGUUUAGGAGACAACCGUAUGCGUGCAGUAUGCAUUACUGUGUAAGAGCAUGUGCAUCGGCGUGUAUUUGAUGCAUCCUUCAGUAAAAAAAAAAAUUUAAAUAGAAAUGAAACAUUUAGCGAAGAUACGUUUCUUCAUAUGGGACGUAUUUUUCUCCGUCCUUCCUUACACGUGGCAGCCUCUAUCUCUCCUAUCUCUCUUCUCCUUCUUUUUCAAUUCAUUCGAUCGUGAAUCUGUAUCUCCUCGAACGAAAGCAUUUCAAUUUCAGAAAUUUCGACUUCGAUUGUUGGGUUUGUCAAUCAGAAGAGGCGAAAAAAAGGAUGGCAACGGUAAAUGGGUACACAGGAAAUAUACCGGCGGCGACCACGCCGGUAGCCACUGGAUAAAAGCAACCUACUCCUCCGACUAAAACCGUCGAUAGCCAAUCCGUUCUCAAAAGAGAAAACGAUGGAUAAAAAAACUGAUUGUGACUUCUCUUUUGUUCUCUUGUGAAAUGAUGGGUUCUUUUAUUGCCCACCAACUGUUUGCUAUAAUUCCUCUGAGAGUUUGAUUCAUCGGGAUUUAUAUGUACUACUGAUUCACAUUUCACCAGGGACCAAAUUAUAUGUUACACAAAAGCCACGGUGGAUAAGAAGGAUGGAAGCGAAAAUGCUUCUAAUGGUGAUUCCGGACAGAAGCAAGUGGAUGUACCUGUCUCCACUGGUGUUGCAAAUGGAGACUCGCAUGCUGAGAAAAAGAGAAAGCUAGAGACUUUGCAGCUUGCAGUUUCCAUUAUUACUAAUGCAGUAACACAUUGUUGAAUUUGUAUUGAUACAGAACGAUGAUAAAACUUUGAAGAUGAAGAAACUGAAAAAGCUCGUUCUAGAAUCUCUGGUGGAUUCAAGCAUAAACAAGUCUGAGCUCAAGGCAGAGCUAGAGCUAAAGGUCAGGAAAAUCUCAGCUGCCUAAUUAAUACACAACGAGUCUAUUCCCUGCUUUGGUGAACUCGAGCCCAUAUGAAGAAGGAUGGAUCAUAAAAGUGGAGCUUAGUGCUGCAGGGGAAGUGAAGAAACUAGUGGAUUCAGACAAAUACUCCAAUGCUCAGCAGCAACAUGGUCAGAAAAAUGAUUCUUUGUAAGCAUUUCACUGUCAGCAGCAACAUGGUCAGAAAAAAUCCAUUUGUGUCAAUACAUGAAAUCAAGAUUAAUUUAUUUGAGGGACCAAAAUUUGUCCUA